UAAUUAUUAAAACUCUAAAAUAAAUCCUACUGUAAAAUUAUUUUUUAGAAAUCUUUUACAAAACUAAAAUAAUUAUGUCACGUUUUGCAACCGAAAACGUAGAAGUUUUCAUUAACGACUUUCUCAAAGAGGAUCUCAAGCAUUUGGAACAGUACAUCAACGUUUACAAUGAGGAAAUUAUGGAAUAUAUACAACUCAAAAACACCAUCGAAACUAUGCGUGAUAAUUUGGAUGAGGGUUAUAAAACGCAAAUGAAUAUUGGUGGUAAUAUUUUUAUGGAAGCCAAGGUUAACGAUUUAAAUACAAUUCUAGUAGACGUUGGCAAAGGUGUCUUUAUACAAUUUACAUUGGAAGAGGCUUUAAAAUUUGCAGACUUUAAAAUAAAAAUUUUAAAUAAGGAAUGUGAUGUACUGCGGCAGGAGAGUAUUAAGAAGAAGUCAGAAAUUAAAUUGGCUUUGAUGUACAUAGCGGAAAAGGAACAGUUGGCGGAGAAGACGAAAGAUUAGUGAUGAAACUGAUAUGUGUCUUGUCAUUUUCCUGUCUUCUUAUUGUUGGAUUUAGUUUAGUCUUUUCAUUUGAAAGUGUAUGCCAAAGGAUAACGGUAAUCUAACCGCAAUCAUUUGCACUACUAACAAAAUUUCGUAAACCAUACGAGAUCGUUUAAAAAUGUCUCAACAUGAUCCCAAUGGUUUGUUGUUUAAAAAAAUAUUAUAUGAGGUCAGUUUAAAUAGCAACUUACUGAUCGUCUUAUUCUGUGGGGGAGAAUUUCUUUAACAAACUAUUUCUUCAAUAUUUGUAGUACAAAUACUAAUACAAUUGCAUGUGGUUGAUAUUUACAAAUUGUCUAAACCACUACGACUAACAAUAACCAAACGACUAUCAUGUUUAAAUAAACUAUUCUUUAAACUGAGUACAGACCAGACAAAGAAUGUUGUAAUUAAAAGCAAUUAAUCCAUGAUUAUUUCAAUCAAUAGUAUAGUUAAUGAACAAUUCUAUAGUACAGUCAAUAAACUAAACGACACACUUGUUAAUGUACAAAUUCAUAGUGUAAUCCAUAGAAUACCUUUAAGCUAAUAUCACUUAAAAUUGAAAUUUCCUUUUUAAUAGAUCUUUAAGGACUUAAUACUUUUAAAGGCCUCCUUUAAUAGUGAUAACAAACUUGUUAGUUUUAACUAACUUGUAUCUGACAAUAAGUGGUUUUAUAACUUAAUCAUUAUCAACAUCAUCGUAUGUUUACUUCAAUCACACUCGUACAUAUUCCAUUCAAAAAAAGUUGCAGUAAACAAUAACGAAACAAAAGUAAACGUAGUAUCUAGCUUUUACAAAACUUUUUUACAGAAAAAAAAAGAUGCCAGAAACAUUUCUACUAAACAUGUCCAUUGGUGGGUUUGUGUUGUUUUCAUUAUAUGGUUAGUAUUUGUCUGUUAGUAAUUUCAUUGUUCGAAUUGUUUAAAGUUUUCUUUCUACAUUAGACACUUAGUACCUGAGCAAUUGUAUAUUUUGUUUCAUGUUUGUUACAAUUAUUGAAACAUGUUUUAUAUUAAGUAUUUUUAUAUUUGGACGAUUUAAAAAAUUUAAACUAAAGGUUUGUUUUGGAUAGAAAUUUUACUUAACGUAAAAAACUAUCAAGUUAAGAGUUUAUCCAAAGGAAGUAUAAAGAUUAAGUUCGAAUUUUUACAAAGAAAUAGUACCCAUUUAGAGAAAUCAAUACAACUUAAUAACAUAAUAAUUACAUUUCUUCAAUUACAUUAAAUUCCAUUAAAAGUUCACACUUCUAAGACAAUAUAAAACACAUUGUCUGUCAAACUUGCAUGACAGUAGUAGCACCGUCAUACAUGUACAUACAUGUAAUCACUUCUGACAACUAUUUUAAACAAAUUAAUUUAAACAAAACAAUAUUAAAUGCAAAAACAAUUUAUCAAACAAUACAAAAUGCAUUUGUAUACAUACUUUAAUUCUGCUCGUGUAUAAAAAAAAAAAACAUUUUAUUGUAAUGUUUGCUUUAAACAAUACAUUAUUAAAAGAUUAGAAAAUAUAUUAGAAUUUUUUUUAAAUAAACCAAACAACAAUCUCUUUCCUCACCCCUUCAAUCUAAAUACUACAAUACCACCUCAACACUCAGUCUAUCCCUAUCAAAAGCCUAUUUACGUACAAUUAAAAAAAAAUAAAUGCAAAACUUAUAUCAUGAGUAUGAGUAUCAUUUUAAAUGUCAUUACAUAUAACGCUUUACAUGUCGAGACCCUUCUCUAAAGGCUUUGAGUGAAAAAUAUAAAAUAUAAUAAUAACAUUUUUUUACAACAAAGUUUGUACGUCCGUCAUGUUCGACACCCUACAAGAGUUUGAAAGGAAAAGCGAAUUUUAAAUUUCUAACUUAAAGACUAGUCUACUUACAAUGAACUAGUGUAAGGACUAGUCUAUGGGCUACUGCAUAUAGAGUAAUGUAUGGACUAGUCUAUAGAUUAAUCUACUGACUAGUAUCUUUUCUAGUCUAGUGACUAUGGAUUAGAUUAUAGAAUAGUGUAAGAACAAGUGUAUGAGAAAAUAUAUGAACUAAUCUACUUUAUAGUCUUUGUCCUAGUCCAGUGAGAGUAUGGAGACUAGUAUUAUGAUUAGUUUAUGGACCUGGCUCAUGAUUAGUAUAUGAACUAGUCUGUUGACUAGUAUAUGGACUGGUCUAUGAACUAGUAUAUGGACUGGUCUAUGAACUAGUGUCCGGACUAGUACAUGAACUAAUGACUAAACUAGUCUAUGGUACGAACUAGUAUAUAGACUAGAUUAUAAUAAACUAAACAACAGACAAUAUAUUAAAAAAUGGACUAUAGUAUAGACCACAUACUAGACUACAAACUAGACUACAGACUCGACUAUA
rnacentral:misc_RNA from 1 species